AGGCAGGAAGAGGAAAGGAGCGUGCUGAGGUACCUUAGAGGGAGGAGGAGGAAAGGAGUAUGCUGAAGUACCUCAGAGGGAGGAGGAGGAAAGGAGCAUGAUGAGGUAGCUCAGCAGGAGGAGGAGGAAAGGAGCGUGCUGAGGUACCUUAGAGGCAGGAAGAGGAAAGGAGCGUGCUGAGGUACCUUAGAGGCAGGAGGAGGAAAGGAGCGUGCUGAGAUACCUCAGAGGGAGGAGGAGGAAAGGAGUAUGCUGAAGUACCUCAGAGGGAGGAGGAGGAAAGGAGCAUGAUGAGGUAGCUCAGCAGGAGGAGGAGGAAAGGAGCGUGCUGAGGUACCUUAGAGGCAGGAAGAGGAAAGGAGCGUGCUGAGGUACCUUAGAGGCAGGAGGAGGAAAGGAGCGUGCUGAGAUACCUCAGAGGGAGGAGGAGGAAAGGAGUAUGCUGAAGUACCUCAGCAGGAGGAGGAGGAAAGG